UGUGUGUGUGUGUGUGUGUGUGUAUGUGUGUGUGGGUGUGUGUGUGUGUACAUGUGUGUGUGUGUGUGUGUGUGUGUGUGUGUGCGUUCUCUUCUCUUGCUCUGCGUUCCUUUGUCACUCCAGAUGGUGUAAACUCCUCCCCUGGUUCUGUCGGACCUGUCGGGCCCCUGGUUCUGUCGGUUCUGUCGGGCCCCUGGUUCUGUAGGUUCUGUCGGCCCCCUGGUUCUGACCCAGCUCUGGGGCUCAGGGGUGAAGAGUGUUUCUGUUGUCUCUGUAUCUGUAUGUGUCCAUAUGACCAAUUAUUACUACUAAUAAUGACUCUACGGCUGCAAUGCUAAUAUGGUAAUGCUCCUUCAUUUGAUGCCAAUGUUUACAGGGACAGUGUUUAUGGUUUCUCACACUAACGUGCAUCCUUUCUAUUUAUAGUUUCGUAUGACUUUGUUUUUGUUUUUACCUUUUAAGGUGAUUACUUGUUUAUUUUCAUGAUUUAACUCUCAGUCGUGACCCACUCACAGCUAGCUUGAGGGAGACACACACAGCAGCUUGCUUCUAACACAUUUGCUAGCACAGCUAGGCUAUAUUGACCCAUGCUAAUAUGUUUGCCAGCACAGCUAGGCUAUAUCGACCCAUGCUAAUAUGUUUGCCAGCACAGCUAGGCUAUAUUGACCCAUGCUAAUAUGUUUGCCAGCACAGCUAGGCUAUAUCGACCCAUGCUAAUAUGUUAACUAGCACAGCUAGGCUAUGUUGACCCAUGCUAAUAUGUUUGCUGGCACAGCAAGGCUAUGUUGACCCAUGCUAAUACAGUAUUUUUGCUAGCACAGCAAAGCUAUCCUGAACCAUGCUAACACAUUUACUGCACAGUUGGUCUGCCCAGCUAGGCUUUCCUGAGUCAUGCCAACUUAUUAGUUUACAGACUAUUCUGAUCCACUCAGUUAUGUAAACAUAUUAGCCUGCAAAGCUAGGCUUAUCUAAUUUACUAACUUGCUCAGCUAGGCUUAUCCUAGCCAUGCUUCACUAACUACUCUUCUCUUAGUGAAUGGGGGGUACGAUCUGAGGGCUGUGCCAAUGUUUCCAGUGAUUAGCUGAUUAGCAUGUUUCCAGUGAUUAGCUGAUUGAUUCCUAGCACAGAUCCUGUGUAAUGACAUUAUGUUUGGCGAGCCAUCCAGUAGUGGUUCUAAGCAUUCCUCUGACAGUUCUAAGCAUUCCUGUACUGUUCCCUGAGGUGCUCUGCUAGCGUGUGUGUGGAGUGGAGCGGCGGCGUGUGUCUCUGCAUUGGUUCGCGAGGUGUGUGUGUCGUUGGUGUGUUCCGUGCUUUUCCUCGAGCCUUUCUCCUUUUAUUUACAAUAAAAAGACAGUCAUUUCAAA